rnacentral:SRP_RNA from 1 species
GCUGGGCGCCAUGGCGCGUGCCUGUAGUCCCAGCUACUGGGGAGGCUGAGGUGGGAGAAUUGCUUGAGCCCAGUUCUGGGCUGUAGGGCGUUAUGCUGCCUGUCCGCACUAAGUUUGGCAUCAAUAUGGUGACCUCCUGGGAUCGGGGGACCACCAGGUUGCCUAAGGAUGGGUGAACUGGUCCAGGUCAGAAACGGAGCAGGCCAAAACUCCUGUGCUGGUCAUUAGUGGGAUCACGCCUAUGAAUAGCCACUGCACUCCUGCCUGGGCAAUGUAGCAAGACUCCAUCUCU